AUUAAUAAGUGAAGCUUCUUGGAACGACGAAGGGUACAAAUGUAAAUACGCAAGUCCCUCACACUACGCUCUAAAUAUCCACGUGUGCCCUUUUCUGCUCCAUCUUGCUUCACUUUCUUCUUCUUCUUUGUUAUUCUAUUCAUUCUGUUUUUGUCUCUUCUACAUGUGCUGAUAAUUGCUCAUUUCUUUUUGUCUUUGUUUUUGGUUCGUUUGAUGUUACAUUUUUGCUCAAUCAGAGAUGGAUCAAAGAAUUGAAAGAUGUGAUACUGACGAUUGACUUAGAUGCUUCUCCACCGACAGAGAUUUGAUUCGGAGGUAAUCAUGAAUAGACAAUUUAUUAGUCAUUUAGUUGGAAUAUAAUGGUUGCAAAAUUAUGAUUUCACGGGUUUUGAAAGUAGUAGCCGAUCAAGGGAAGAAAAUGGCACUGCUUGUGUCGACUCUAAGAGAUUACUCCGUGAAAGUUUAUUGGAGAAACAAAUUGGAAGAUUAAAGCUUUUCUCUUUAUUCGUGAAAGAGCCGCGAUGUUGAUGAAUGAGAUAGAGUUUUCUUGUGCCUAGAGAACUACUAAAGAAGCAGCAUAGCCAGUAACAACUUUCUGAUACAUUCAACCUUUAUUUGAAGAAAGUAGAGAGUUCAAAAAAAGCAAAACAAUGACAACAAGCCUGUAAUGGACGGAACAACUCAUAGUGCUUGUUUCUAUUUGGUGACCUGUCAGCUUGAGGAGCUAAAUAUGUGCGGAAAUAUCUAAUAAGAAAAAAAAAUGUGGACUGUGACAACGAGAACAAGUCUAACAAUCAAGACAAGCCUCAUCAAAUAGGAGGAAGAGGUGAGAAGCACAACUUUCAGGCAAAGCAGAUCAAACGGGAAUCUUAACAAGAAAAGGAAGGAUGAAGAAGAUGCAAGCAAUGAAAAUCCUGCAAUUGAAAAGAGAACUCGUGUUUUUUGGUCUAUAAAGUUUCGCAGGGAUUCCUAAUGAAAGCUUGACAUAGAGCUUCAUAGGAAGCUUGUUGCAGCAGUUAAUUAUUUAUGCAUUGGAAGUGAUUUUCUUUAGCAUCACUGUGGUUAAUUUUGACCUGAUGAAUGUUGAAGGAGUUACAAGAGGGAAUGUGGCAAGCCAUCUCCAGCCUAUCAUUUGUUGUUGGGGAAGAGAUAUUGACCCACGUAAUAUUGGUCGGAAACAAAUGAAGAAUCACAGGUACUCUUCUUUCGAUAAGGUCGGGAGAAAAUGACGAUGCUGCGGACGAGAACGGAUGGAGGUUGCUUGAACAAGUUUAAGAUGAGCCCCUAUACGUAAAACCACUUGGUGUCAUAAGUCAUUGAAUGCUUGUUUAGUUGGUAAAAAAGAAGUAUGUGAAUCUAUGUUUUUGUUGUAAAUAUUAAAUUAUAAUAGGUUCAUUACUAUUAGACCAACUUUGAGAUGAAUGCAAUAGUUUUUUUUAUAUGGACAAGAGUUAAGUAGCUCUUUAGUUUUCAAGUUAAUCUUAAGAGUCUGGAUUGGAAAAUUUACAUUUU